GUAUUUACCUGGCAGGGGAGAUACCAUGACCACGAAGGUGGUUUUCCCAGGGCGAGGCUUAUCCAUUGCACUCCGAGUGUGCUGACCCCUGUGAUUUCCCCAAGCGUGGGAAACUCGACUGCAUAAUUUGUGGUAGUGGGGGACUGCGUUCGCCCUUUUCCUGA
ensembl:snRNA U1 U1 spliceosomal RNA